rnacentral:rRNA from 1 species
AGUCGUAGUCGAUGGGAAGCAGGUUAAUAUUCCUGCACCUCGCGUAAGUGCGAUGGAGGGACGGAGAAGGUUAGGUGUACCAGGCGUUGGUUGUCCUGGGGAAAGGCGGUAGGUUUGGAUCUUUGGCAAAUCCGGGAUCCUUUAAGACCGAGCACCGAGACGAGCCUUUAAGGCGAAGUCACUGAUACCACGCUUCCAGGAAAAGCUCCUAAGCUUCAGCUUACGCAGACCGUACCGUAAACCGACACAGGUGGGUAGGAUGAGAAUUCUCAGGCGCUUGAGAGAACUCGGGUGAAGGAACUAGGCAACAUGGCACCGUAACUUCGGGAGAAGGUGCACCCUUUUUGGUGGCUCGUGCGAGCUAUGGCUGAAGAGGGUCGCAGUAACCAGGCCGCUGCGACUGUUUAUCAAAAACACAGCACUCUGCAAACACGAAAGUGGACGUAUAGG